rnacentral:rRNA from 1 species
AUUGAACGCUGGCGGCAUGCUUUACACAUGCAAGUCGAACGGUAACAGGCCGCAAGGUGCUGACGAGUGGCGAACGGGUGAGUAAUGCAUCGGAACGUGCCCAGUCGUGGGGGAUAACGCAGCGAAAGCUGCGCUAAUACCGCAUACGAUCUAUGGAUGAAAGCGGGGGACCGGAAGGCCUCGCGCGAUUGGAGCGGCAGAUGUCAGAUUAGGUAGUUGGUGGGGUAAAGGCUCACCAAGCCAACGAUCUGUAGCUGGUCUGAGAGGACGACCAGCCACACUGGGACUGAGACACGGCCCAGACUCCUACGGGAGGCAGCAGUGGGGAAUUUUGGACAAUGGGCGCAAGCCUGAUCCAGCAAUGCCGCGUGCAGGAAGAAGGCCUUCGGGUUGUAAACUGCUUUUGUACGGAACGAAAAGGCUCUGGUUAAUACCUGGGGCUCAUGACGGUACCGUAAGAAUAAGCACCGGCUAACUACGUGCCAGCAGCCGCCGUAAGAC